rnacentral:rRNA from 1 species
CGUUCCCGGGCCUUGUACACACCGCCCGUCACACCACGAGAGUUGACCGCGCCCGAAGCCGUUCGCCCAACCGCAAGGGGGGUAGCGUCUACGGCGAGGUCGGCGAUUGGGGUG